GGUAAUGUAGCUUAGUGGUCGAGUGCUUGUCUAGCAUGCAUGAAGCCCUGUGUUCAAUUUGGCAGUACCA
rnacentral:tRNA from 1 species